CCUACGGGAGGCUGCAGUGGGGAAUAUUGCACAAUGGGCGCAAGCCUGAUGCAGCCAUGCCGCGUGUGUGAAGAAGGCCUUCGGGUUGUAAAGCACUUUCAGCGGGGAGGAAGGCGUUAAGGUUAAUAACCUUGGCGAUUGACGUUACCCGCAGAAGAAUCACCGGCUAACUCCGUGCCAGCAGCCGCGGUAAUACGGAGGGUGCAAGCGUUAAUCGGAAUUACUGGGCGUAAAGCGCACGCAGGCGGUCUGUCAAGUCGGAUGUGAAAUCCCCGGGCUCAACCUGGGAACUGCAUUCGAAACUGGCAGGCUAGAGUCUUGUAGAGGGGGGUAGAAUUCCAGGUGUAGCGGUGAAAUGCGUAGAGAUCUGGAGGAAUACCGGUGGCGAAGGCGGCCCCCUGGACAAAGACUGACGCUCAGGUGCGAAAGCGUGGGGAGCAAACAGGAUUAGAUACCCCAGUAGUC
rnacentral:rRNA from 1 species